UGUGGCCUCAUUUUUCGAAGUACAGACAUGAAAAACACAUCAUUGUGUUCAUGAAGGACGGAGGAUUCGUACGAUGUUCUUAUUUUCAUUCUGGGACUUAAGGAAAUCACGCUAUGUGAAGAAGUUCACAGGCUGAAAUUCACUGCAGUUCAGCACCUCUCAGUCAAACAGUAGGUUAGUGAUUUGCCUUUGAUCUCACAGCUGUUUAGGAUGCAGUCAUUAACGAGACACACACACACACACACGCACACACAUUCUUGUACUUGUUGCUUUUUGAGGUCCACCUUGCAGUUCAGCUGCUUGUACACACAGUUAAUAUGUGUCUGCUUCACCACCUAUCUCCACCCACAAACUUUGAGCUACAGAAACCAUUCUGGGCUUCAAAAUUCAGCUCAUUGAAGAUAUUAUGGGGUGUUUUGAGGAUUGUGAUAAUAAAUUGUAUUAAUGUGUUCAGCAGAGUCUUGUGUUCUCACAAGCUCCUUAUGAAUAUAUACAGAGGAUGAGCGUCAGGGCCUACUUGGAGUCCUGUUUCCUUAGCUUCAAGCCUUCUUUCUCCUGCUAUAGUUAUGCAUCCAAGGUCCCCAUGGCAACCAAUUUGUGCACCUGGAGACACACAGCUGACUGGAAAGCUGCUUCUAAUGGCCAUAUGAGACACAUGAAGCCAGGCUCAGUACACAUAGCACUGGGGAUGACACUUAAAACCCUUUACUAGAGCGCUUGAAAAAACUUCAGCCCCUAUCUCCUCACAUGACCUUUGACCUACAGAAACCAUUCAGGGCUUUGAAAUUUAAGCUCAUUGAGGACAUUAUGGGGUGUAUUUAGGAUUUAUAUUCAUUUACAUUUUUCACAUUUUAAAGUCACUCAGUGAUGAUUUAUCAUUUAAUUUUUCAAACUAAUUUAAAAUUCAAACCUUUCUAAUACUUUAAAACUUUCUGAUACUUGAGGAUUUUUAAUUAUUUAAAUUUUCCUGUUUUAAAUUAAUUUUAAUAUUUAUGCAUUAUCCAUCCUUCAAACAAAAUCCUACCUCAAGUAUUACAACUACUGCUAAUGUCAAUUAAACUAGACUUUCCCCUCUACUUCAACUGCUAUUGCUCCUAUUUCUACUUUCUCUACUGCUGCUAUCGCUACUAUUUCUACUUUCUCUACUACUUUGACUUAUACUUCUUUAUUCUCAAACUACUUCUACUGCUGACAGACUACUAGUAUCACAACUUGACUUCUUAUCAUACUACUUCUAGUACUACAACUUAAACUUAUGCCACUUCUCACCUUCCUGCCUUUUAAGGCAAUUUCCUUCUUCAUUCAAACUUUGUGCAAUUUUAGACAUUUUUUUAGCCUCUUUCAGCAUGAAUAGAAUUAUCUUUUAUAGAGCAUAGUCAUACUAUUUGUCCUUCAACCAAUUAAUCAAUUAUCCAACUUACAUUUCUUUCUCACCCCUUCAACAGCUUUAACAUUGAUACCUUUCUCCAUGAUUUAUUAGCAGUUUAGCAUUGCUUUUUCAGCUUUCAGCACUCAGCAUUUCCACGCAUUUUCUGCAAGGAAAUGCAAUUUUUCUAGUAUUAUACUUAACACUCUCCCCAUACGUUUCUUUGGACCGCUUCUCCUCCUUCCAAAUUUGUCCGAUUUCAACCGUUUAAACUUUAAACUAUUCCACUCCAUCAGGACAUGUGUGCUUGUAUUUUUUUCCUUUCUAUCCUUUGUACUUUUUAUUAUUUUUCACUUUUUGUGCCAAACUUUUUUUCCCAUAGAAAUGAAUGGGGAAAUCUUUCAAUUCUUCCUGUUAUUCGUCCACCUUCUAAGCCUUAUAACUUCAGCAUACUUUCACCUAGAGACCUCAUUUUUGCUUUAAAAUGUUCAUUGUCUUGUCGACUAUUGAUGUUGUAUUAACCUCUUUGUGCUAUCUUUUACAGUUUUUCCACAAUUUAGCUUUAUGCAACUUGUGGUUUUCAGCAAAUUUCAGGCUUUAUAAUAGGGGUGUAUUGGAGAGGCUAGAGUGAUGAUUUGAAAAGCUAGAGUGCAGACCUCGUCUCUGAUCGACAGAACCUCGCUCGAAUAUAUCGCUCCCACGCCCACAAAUCUCACUCCACAGCCAUAAAAAAUACAUCAAAAUGGAGGUAUAUGUGUCCUGCUUCUCACAAAAGAGGUUUCAAAUCAUUAAAUCCUACCCCUUGGCCAGCAGGUGACCAACUGUCCAAAUAGGCGGAAAUCUCUCCCCAUUGGCCCUAAUGUAUUUUUCUCCAAGAAAAUCCUUAUCGUACUCAGGCUCAGACUUUUUUAACUCGCUGUUGUGGCCACAUUUUUCGGAGUACAGACAUGAAAAAACACAUCAUUGUGUUCAUGAAGGACGGAGGAUUCGUACGAUGUUCUUAUUUUCAUUCUGGGACUUAAGGAAAUCACGCUAUGUGAAGAAGUUCACAGGCCCUUAGUUCACUGCAGUUCAGCACCUCUCAUUCAAACAGUAGGUCAGUGAUUUGCCUUUGAUCUCACAGCUGUUUAGGAUGCAGUCAUUAACGAGACACACACACACACACACACACACACACACACACAUUCUUGUACUUGUUGCUUUAUGAGGUCUACCUUGCAGUUCAGCUGCUUGUACACACAGUUAAUAUGUGUCUGCUUCACCACCUAUCUCCACCCACAAACUUUGAGCUACAGAAACCAUUCUGGGCUUCAAAAAUUCAGCUCAUUGAAGAUAUUAUGGGGUGUUUUGAGGAUUGUGAUAAUAAAUUGUAUUAAUGUGUUCAGCAGAGUCUUGUGUUCUCACAAGCUCCUUAUAUGAAUAUAUACAGAGGAUGAGCGUCAGGGCCUACUUGGAGUCCUGUUUCCUUAGCUUCAAGCCUUCUUUCUCCUGCUAAAGUUAUGCAUCCAAGGUCCCCAUGGCAACCAAUUUGUGCACCUGGAGACACACAGCUGACUGGAAAGCUGCUUCUAAUGGCCAUAUGAGACACAUGAAGCCAGGCUCAGUACACAUAGCACUGGGGAUGACACUUAAAACCCUUUCCUAGAGCGCUUGAAAAAACUUCAGCCCCUAUCUCCUCACAUGACCUUUGACCUACAGAAACCAUUCAGGGCUUUAAAAUUCAAGCUCAUUGAGGACAUUAUGGGGUGUAUUUAGGAUUUAUAUUCAUUUAAUUUUUUCACUUUUAUAACUCACUCAGUGAUGAUUUAUCAUUUAAUUUUUCAAACUAAUUUAAACUCAUUCAAACUGAUUCAAACCUUUCUAAUACUUAAAAACUUAAACUUAUUCCACUUCUCACCUUCCUGCCUUUUAAGGCAAUUUCCUUCUUCAUUCAAACUUUGUGCAAUUUUAGACAUUUUUCUAGCCUCUUUCAGCAUGAAUAAAAUUUCCUUUUAUAGAGCAUAUUCAUACUAUUUGUCCUUCAACCAAUUAAUCAAUUAUCCAACUUACAUUUCUUUCUCACCCCUUCAACAGCUUUAACAUCUAUACCUUUCUCCAUGUUUUAUUAGCAGUUUAGCAUUGCUUUUUCAGCUUUCAGCACUCAGCAUUUCCACGCAUUUUCUGCAAGGAAAUGCAAUUUUUCUAGUAUUAUACUUAACACUCUCCCCAUACGUUUCUUUGGACCGCUUCUCCUCCUUCAAACUAUGUCCGAUUUCAACCGUUCAAACUUUAAAAGAUUCCACUCCUUCAGGACAUGAUGGCUAUUACUUUUCUUUUUUCUACCCUUUAUACUUUUUAUUAUUUUUCACUUUUUGUGCCAAACUUUUUUUCCCAUAGAAAUGAAUGGGGAAAUCUUUCAAUUCUUCCUGUUAUUCCUCCACCUUCUAAGCCUUUUAACUUCAGCAUACUUUCACCUAGAGACCUCAUUUUUGCUUUAAAAUGUUCAUUGUCUUGUCGACUAUUGAUGUUGUAUUAACCUUUUUGUGCUAUCUUUUACAGUUUUUCCACAAUUUAGCUUUAUGCAACUUGUGGUUUUCAGCUAAUUUCAGGCUUUAUAAUAAGGGGUGUAUUGGAGAGGCUAGAGUGAUGAUUUGAAAAGCUAGAGUGCAGACCUCGUCUCUGAUCGACAGAACCUCGCUCGAAUAUAUCGCUCCCACGCCCACAAAUCUCACUCCACAGCCAUAAAAAAUACAUCAAAAUGGAGGUAUAUGUGUCCUGCUUCUCACAAAAGAGGUUUCAAAUCAUUAAAUCUUACCCCUUGGCCAGCAGGUGUACAACUGUCCAAAUAGGCGGAAAUCUCUUCCCAUUGGCUCUAAUGUAUUUUUUCUCCAAGAAAAUCCUUAUCGCCACUCAGGCUCAGACUUUUUUAAUUCGCUGUUGUGGCGACAUUUUUCGGAGUACAGACAUGAAAAACACAUCAUUGUGUUCAUGAAGGGCGGAGGAUUCGUACGAUGUUCUUAUUUUCAUUCUGGGACUUAAGGAAAUCGUGCUAUGUGAAGAAGUUCAGAACCCUAAAUUCACUGCAGUUCAGCAGCUUCUCCAUUCAAACAAUAGGUCAGUUCAUGCUUUGAUCUCACAGCUGUUUAGGAUGCAAUCAUUAACGAGACACACACACACACACACGCACACACAUUCUUGUACUUGUUGCUUUUUGA
rnacentral:lncRNA from 1 species